UCCCGAUGCUUAUUUCUAGAGUAUAGAAAGUUACUUCGGUACAUCGGUGACAGGUGGUGCAUGGUUGUCGUCAGCUCGUGUCGUGAGAUGUUGGGUUAAGUCCCGCAACGAGCGCAACCCCUAUUGUUAGUUGCCAUCAUUCAGUUGGGCACUCUAGCGAGACUGCCGGUAAUAAACCGAGGAAGGUGGGGAUGACGUCAAAUCAUCAUGCCCCUUAUGACCUGGGCUACACACGUGCUACAAUGGUUGGUACAACGAGUUGCGAGUCGGUGACGGCGAGCUAAUCUCUUAAAGCCAAUCUCAGUUCGGGUUGUAGGCUGCAACUCGCCUACAUGAAGUCGGAAUCGCUAGUAAUCGCGGAUCAGCACGCCGCGGUGAAUACGUUCCCGGGCCUU
rnacentral:rRNA from 1 species